CAGUAGCCGCGGUAAUACGAGGGGGGCAAGCGUUGUUCGGAAUCACUGGGCGUAAAGGGUGCGUAGGCGGAUUCUUAAGUCAGGGGUGAAAUCCCGAGGCUCAACCUCGGAACUGCCUUUGAUACUGGGGAUCUUGAGUCCGGAAGAGGUGAGUGGAACUGCGAGUGUAGAGGUGAAAUUCGUAGAUAUUGGAAAGAACACCGGUGGCGAAGGCGGCGACCUGGUCUUUAACUGACGCUGAGGCGCGAAAGCGUGGGGAGCAAACAGGAUUAGAUACCCGUGUAGUCCCUGUCUCUUAUAA
rnacentral:rRNA from 1 species